UAGAUAGAUAGAUAGAUAGAUAGAUAGAUAGAUAGAUAGAUAGAUAGAUAGAUAGAUAGAUAGAUAGAUAGAUUUUAGGUGCAUAGGUUUUUGUUGUUCAUUGAAAAUGGUGUCAUUUAAUUCUAUUUUGUUGUAUCUGUCGUCUCAGAUGUAUGAAGCAGGUUAUUCUCUCAUGGAGAAACGGCAGAUCCGGAGGGAUGCAAAAAAAUUCACUCUUAAAGGUAUUCUGUAAUUAAAUAAAUAACAUUUUAUGCAGUCCAUCUUAAUUCAUCUUCCAUUUUACCAAAUUAGUAGGCCCUGCAAAGGAAACUGAAUCGAGUUAUAAGCAAUCUACAGCUGAUGCAGUGCUGAUACAUGUUCUCUCCCUCUUUAGGGAAUUGUAUGUACUACCUUGGGGAGAAUGGCGAUUCAAUGAGGAGGGUGAUCCUCACUGAGAAAGAGAAGGUUGAGGUGCUGACAGAAGUCCAUGCUGGCCACUUUGGAGUCAAGAAGAUGCUGGACAAGAUCAACCAACGCUUCUACUGGAAGGCAAUUACCAAAGAUGUUCAUGAAUGGGCAAGUGACCAAUUUGUUGAAGUUUUGUUUGAUCCAGAUGAGCUCUAAUAUUUCCUGUGAUACGCUGAGGCUCAUGAGAUUUAAAGAAUAAUUUAUAGUGAUUGCCUUUUAUUAGUAAUUGUUCAUUCAAACUGCUGUGACACGCAAAGAAAAUCGCCUCUUCUCUAGAGCAUAUUAUUAAAUCUGUUGUGUUUAGUUUCCUUGUGUUGUAAAGGUGAAAACCUGUAUGUCAUGCCAGAGGUUUGAGCGAGUGAAAACAGAGGCACCAGAGUUGAAGCCCAUCAAACCAAAGUCACCAUUGCAUAUGAUUGGUGUUGACCUAAUUGGACCAUUCAAAGCCUCAAAGAAUGGGAACCGCUUCUGUCUGACAGCAACUGACUUCUUCACCAAGUGGGUGGAGGCCAUGGCCCAUCAAGGACAAGACUGCAACUGCCACAUCACAGGCUAUGAUGGACAUUUUCUACACCCAUGGUUCUCCUGAGGUCAUCUUGACAGACCAGGGUCGUGAAUUCUGGAACAAGGUAAACAAGUCCCUUUUUGAGGAGUUUGGUGUCAAGCACCGAAUCACAUCAGCGGACCAUCCUCAGGUAUAG